rnacentral:rRNA from 1 species
AUUGAACGCUGGCGGCAGGCCUAACACAUGCAAGUCGAACGGUAACAGGAAACAGCUUGCUGUUUCGCUGACGAGUGGCGGACGGGUGAGUAAUGUCUGGGAAAUUGCCUGAUGGAGGGGGAUAACUACUGGAAACGGUAGCUAAUACCGCAUAACGUCGCAAGACCAAAGAGGGGGACCUUCGGGCAUCUUGCCAUCGGAUGUGCCCAGAUGGGAUUAGCUAGUAGGUGGGGUAACGGCUCACCUAGGCGACGAUCCCUAGCUGGCCUGAGAGGAUGACCAGCCACACUGGAACUGAGACACGGUCCAGACUCCUACGGGAGGCAGCAGUGGGGAAUAUUGCACAAUGGGCGCAAGCCUGAUGCAGCCAUGCCGCGUGUAUGAAGAAGGCCUUCGGGUUGUAAAGUACUUUCAGCGGGGAGGAAGGGAGUAAAGUCAAUACCUUUGCUCAUUGACGUUACCCGCAGAAGAAGCACCGGCUAACUCCGUGCCAGCCGCCGCCGUAA